rnacentral:rRNA from 1 species
AUUAGGCAUGCAAGUCGAACGAGAACGUCCCCUUCGGGGGGCUAGUACAGUGGCGAACGGGUGAGUAACGCGUGGGAAACCUGCCUUUGAGUGGGGGAUAACAGUCUUAACGGGCUGCUAAUACCGCAUGACACUUUUGAUCGCAUGGUCGAAAGUUAAAGAUGGCCUCUACAUGUAAGCUGUCGCUCAGAGAUGGUCCCGCGUCCUAUUAGCUUGUUGGUGGGGUAACGGCCUACCAAGGCUUCGAUGGGUAGCCGGCCUGAGAGGGUGACCGGCCACACUGGGACUGAGAUACGGCCCAGACUCCUACGGGAGGCAGCAGUCGAGAAGCUUCGGCAAUGGGGGAAACCCUGACCGAGCGACGUCGCGUGGGUGAUGAAGAUUCUUGGAUCGUAAAACCCUGUCAGAUGGGAUGAAAUGCAAUUAGUUUAAUAGACUAGUCGUUUGACAGUACCAUCAGAGGAAGCUCCGGCCAACUCCGUGCCAGCAGCCGCGGUAACACGGGGGGAGCAAGCGUUGUUCGGAAUCAUUGGGCGUAAAGAGCUCGUAGGCGGUUCCGUAAGUCAGAGGUGAAAUACAAUGGCUCAACCAUUGAUACGCCUUUGAAACUACAGAACUUGAGAUCGG